CAGCAGCCGCGGGAAUACGUAGGGUGCGAGCGUUAAUCGGAAUUACUGGGCGUAAAGCGUGCGCAGGCGGUUCGUUAAGACAGAUGUGAAAUCCCCGGGCUUAACCUGGGAACUGCAUUUGUGACUGGCGAGCUAGAGUAUGGCAGAGGGGGGUAGAAUUCCACGUGUAGCAGUGAAAUGCGUAGAGAUGUGGAGGAAUACCGAUGGCGAAGGCAGCCCCCUGGGCCAAUACUGACGCUCAUGCACGAAAGCGUGGGGAGCAAACAGGAUUAGAUACCCCGGUAGUCCCUGUCUCUUAUAA
rnacentral:rRNA from 1 species